GAACAAAUUAAUAAUGUUACUUGUAUAAUGGUGGGGAUAUGGCCCACAAGUAUCUACCAAGUUGCCGUAAAUGACUUGACUACAAGUGAUCUCCUUAGCAGG
rnacentral:ncRNA from 2 species